rnacentral:rRNA from 1 species
GACGAACGCUGGCGGCGUGCUUAACACAUGCAAGUCGAACGGUAAGGCCCUUCGGGGUACACGAGUGGCGAACGGGUGAGUAACACGUGGGUGAUCUGCCCUGCACUUCGGGAUAAGCCUGGGAAACUGGGUCUAAUACCGGAUAGGACCACUGCCUGCAUGGGUGGUGGUGGAAAGCUUUUGCGGUGUGGGAUGGGCCCGCGGCCUAUCAGCUUGUUGGUGGGGUGAUGGCCUACCAAGGCGACGACGGGUAGCCGGCCUGAGAGGGUGACCGGCCACACUGGGACUGAGAUACGGCCCAGACUCCUACGGGAGGCAGCAGUGGGGAAUAUUGCACAAUGGGCGCAAGACUGAUGCAGCGACGCCGCGUGAGGGAUGUCGGCCUUCGGGUUGUAAACCUCUUUCAGCACCGACGAAGCGCAAGUGACGGUAGGUGCAGAAGAAGGACCGGCCAACUACGUGCCAGCCGCCGCAGUAA